rnacentral:rRNA from 1 species
GAUGAACGCUAGCGGCAGGCCUAAUACAUGCAAGACGAACGGUAAGCUUUGUAGCAAUACGGAGCCUAGAGUGUCGCAAGGGUGCGUAACACGUAUGCAAUCUACCCUGUACAGGAGUAUAGCUCCCCGAAAGGGGAAUUAACCCUCCAUAAUAUGAUGAACCGGCAUCGGUUUAUUAUUAAAACUGAGGUGGUACAGGAUGAGCAUGCGUCUGAUUAGCUAGUUGGUAGUGUAAUGGACUACCAAGGCAAUGAUCAGUAGGGGAACUGAGAGGUUGAUCCCCCACACUGGCACUGAGAUACGGGCCAGACUCCUACGGGAGGCAGCAGUAGGGAAUAUUGGACAAUGGGUGAGAGCCUGAUCCAGCCAUGCCGCGUGCAGGAAGAAGGUCUUUCUGGGGUUGUAAAACUGCUUUUUAUCUGGGGAUAAAAAGGCCUUGCGAGGCAAACUGAAGGUACCAGAUGAAUAAGCCACGGGCUAAACUACGUGCCAGCAGCCGACGG